rnacentral:rRNA from 1 species
CGGACGGGUGAGUAAUGUCUGGGAAACUGCCUGAUGGAGGGGGAUAACUACUGGAAACGGUAGCUAAUACCGCAUAACGUCGCAAGACCAAGAGGGGGACCUUCGGGCCUCUUGCCAUCAGAUGUGCCCAGAUGGGAUUAGCUAGUAGGUGGGGUAACGGCUCACCUAGGCGACGAUCCCUAGCUGGUCUGAGAGGAUGACCAGCCACACUGGAACUGAGACACGGUCCAGACUCCUACGGGAGGCAGCAUGA